UUUUUUUAAAAAAAUGUGUUUAAAUAAGUAUUGUCAAUUUACUGUGCACAAUUAACAAAAAGAAGAAGAAACAAUAGAAAAGCUUAAUGUUUUUCCCCCUAAAAAUCUUAUAGAAGUUUUAUGUAACCCAAUUUAUAAAAUAUCCAGUUCUAAAUAUAAAAGGCUCAGUCCUUAGGGCAAAGAGGUUAGACUUAAUAAUAACCAGUAAACGCCCCCCCCCAACAAUAGCAUUAAUCUGUGUCCUUUCUUAGCCAUUCUGAAAAGUUCUCUGUAAGUCCGUCUGCAUAUGUGAUUAAAAUGUGUAGUCAAGGUUAUUUCUGGAGUUAGUAUUAAGCAUUGACAUAUAUGCCAUUUUCAGUUAACUUAUAAAGAUCUAAUUUUAUUAACCUUUUAACUUUCUAUUUUGACUUUCUGAGCGUACAAGCGAUAUGCUUAAAUCAUUACUACUGAAAAGAAUAUUUUAAUUUUCUUCUCAUUUGACAAAGUAUACUUCCCCUUAACUGGCUUUGAGGCUGUACUUGCCAUGUCUACUUCCACUUUCUGUAUUUCUCGUCAUGAUGGGACGCAAGGCAAUUACAGCAUCUACGUAACAUUUUCAAUUGCAAAGCAUCUUCAACACGGAAACUAUACUGAUCUACAUUCACAAUAAUGCUUGUUUAUUGUUUGAGAGUUAAAUGUUUUUAUGCACAUAUACGUAAACUAAUUGUGUUGUUUGAAAAGUACGGCUUGUUAUUCUACUCAAAUGGAUUACUCAAGUAAAAAAUUUUAUUUGGCAAGAUCUUGUUUUAUCCUGUUGCUUACUUCUAGACCUUGGUAUGUUAGGCUUUCUGCUGACUUCUUAACUUUCUCAUGCAUCAGCUGUGUCCCUUCUCUUCUUUUUUUCCCUUCUCCUGUAACCUCCUUAUAUUCUCACCUGCCCUGUUCGAAGCCAUUAUUCAACAAUGUCUCCCCUCAUGCUACUCUCUGAAUGGUCUGAUCUCUGCUACUUGUUUGCAAGUGAGCUGAGAGAGGGCCCAUCUUGUCUAGGGAUAAAAGUGGGUUUUUCUGAUGGAUAGUUGGGUAGAGAGUGGAAAGAUUCAUUGGUAGAAAUAGCAUGGGAUUAGUUGCUUGAGAACAGAGCAAGAGAGAAUGGAAAAGUUAGAAAGCUAAGUAGGUGAAUAGUAGAAAGAUGCUAAGCAGAAAACGUGGAGACACCUUUCUUGAGGUUGGGAUUAAGGAUUUUAGCUCUGACCAUACUCUCCCAUUAGUAAUCACUGGGCCUUUCAGGCUUUGUGCAAUGAGCUGAACCCAGUCAACAGAAUCUUUUCAACUAUAUUGAAAAGCAGUGAUCCAACACAUGAAGUGAAAACAUCUCCUUGAUACAAGAGUACACACGGCUUUAGAACACAUUAACAUUAUAAGACAGAUAUGAUUGUCAUUAAAAACAGCAUCAGGAAGCCUAUGUCUUGCUUUAUUAUCUUCAAACUGGUUAGCAAUGUAAAGAGAACCUUCUAAAAACUAAUUUAAAUGCAUAAUAUACAUUUGAACAUGGGGCACUUUUUUGGGUUAGUUUCAGGAUGGUGAGUUUUAAAUGUUUACAGCAAUCACGUUUGAGUGCUAAGAGGAUUUUUUUUUUCACUGAAUGGUUCACUGGCAGAUGACAUAGAGAGACAUACUCCCAUAAUUUUGUUCUUCUUAAUCAGUGAAAAAUAAAAUGGAAGAAAGUUACAAAGACAUAGGAUUUCUUAAUAAUUUUAAGGACCAUUAUAUAUGUUUAAUUUUGAGAAUUCAAGAGCUAAUGUAUCCUUAUUAAUUUUUUGUUCAGAAUAUUCUCAUAUUUUAGAACUGUCAAAUUGGAAAUAAGGAAUAAAGUACAUUUUUUAGACAGUUCAAAGCACUCUGUUAGCAUAUUUUAUAUCCCUUGAAUCCCAUUAUGUGUUUUUAUAAAUACUUCUUAGGGUUUAUUCUUUUUCUAUUUAUUGUCACCUCUACUUGAAAAAUUGUCAGUUAGGAUCUAUACAUAGCCGAAAUCUUAGGACAGGUCUAGAUAAUUCAGCAAGUGGCUAUUCUCUUCAUCAGCACAUUUUAUUAUGGUAGAAAUUCUCUAUGAUGAAGGCUAAGGAACCUGAUUAUUUUUUUAAAUAGGUCAAGAAAUGGAUCAGAAAAUCUGCAGGGGAUUUAUCUCUGUUUCUAGUACUCCGUAAUGACAAAACUUUCUUUGGCUAAUGAGCAUGUCUAGAUGAAUUCAAAUAUAUGGAGAAAAGAGUAGAAGCGGCAGUGGACUUCUAAGAGAAUUGGUAUAAUUGCAGUGAUUGAAUUCAAAAGAUUCUAAAUAGUUUGAAAGGAGUGAAAAGUGACAGGUUAGUUAAACCAAAUAUGCUCUAUUUUCUUAUAAGAAUGGGUAUAAAUCACAUGAACAUAAAAGAACAUACACCAUUUUGUGCACCAAUUCAGAACUAAAAAAAUGAAACUCCUGACAUCAUUCUGGCCUUAAAAUUUCCUACUUUCUCUCUCUUACAUGAGUGUCAUAUUUGUUCCAUCUUUAUUCUGGGGCUACAUUUAACCAUUUAUUCAUUUUUUAUGCACUGACUUCUUGAAACACUGUUUAUUGAGCACUUAUAUGGGGCAGGCGCUGUCUGGCCUACAAAGUGAAGUUCUAGUAGUCAAAAACAUCUUAAACAUAAGAGAUUGGACAAAGAUAGUUUUUACGUAUAAUAAGCUAUUUAUUCAUUAAGAUACCUGAUAUCACCAUUAUAAACCCAAAUAUUGUGCCAAGAUACAUGUCACCUUCAAGAAAAAUUCAAAACCACUAUGCUGUUGUCCUGAAGUUCUUACUUUCAUGCUAAUACUUUUUUUUUUUAACUUUGGGUUUUAUUACUUUCCCUUGCAGAAUCUAUACUCCAUCAUCCAGGAUAAGGGCCAACCUUAUGUUAUUCAGUAAAUACAGUAGAGAUAAUAUUAUCCUGUUUCCAUUUUUAUGCCUCUCAAAAGGAAAAAAAAUCCUUAAAUAUAAUCUAAACUACGUUUUGUGUCUUUCUUUUAUAUUUUCAUCCAUUCAUUCUUUAAAUGCCAGCCCCAGUGACACUUUCUCUGUGAAACUCUCCUUGCCCAAUCACUGAGCAAGAGUCAAGUAUAGCAUAGAAAGGCAUUUAAAUUUCAAUUACUCCUCUUAUAAUCCAUUGUAACCAUUCAUUCUCUUGUGCCCUUUCUACUAAAGGCUGUGUGUGCACUUGGAGGGCAUGUACUGUCUGUUAUCAUCUCUGUAUUCUGGUUACCUUGGCACAAUAUCUAAGCCAUAACAGCUCAGUAGAUAUUUCUUGAAUUAAUUUAAUCCUCUUAUAAUUACUGUUUAAACUCUUUUAUCUUACAUCUUUGGGACCUCUGUCUAUCCUUUGAUAGGAAAAUAAAAGCAGAGGUCUUGAUCUUGUUUUUAUACAAUACUAAAUAAAUCUCAGCUCUUUCUUGUCUGUAGGAAAAUGUAAAAUCCCAUUCCUAAGACUUAAUUUGAAAAUUUGGGUUUAGAAUGAGAAUACAAAUUGAGAGUGAUUAGCUGGUUUGCAUUAUUUUCUGUUGGUCUUUUGUUGUCUUUCAUUUUUUUUUUUUCAGGAAAGCAUCACUAAGAAUCAAAUUUAGGUAUUUUUACAGUGGGCUGUUAGAUUCAGGAAUCUGUUAACAUGUCCUAAUCUUUCUGCUAUUAUCAUAACUUCUUCCUGUGCAAGUACAUGGGAACAUGUGCAUGUACGUCAGUAGGUAUGCAUGCAUGUGUGUGCACCUGUGUGUGAGCGUGUGUGUAUGUAUGUGUAGCCACUGACUAGUCUUCUGAUGCAACACCUUUGUUAUCUUUGUUCUUAUCUUUCACUGUCAACUCCAGUCUCUUCUUCUUGAUCCUUCCUGUGAAAAUGGCUUGAAGGAUUUUGAGAAAGUUUUGUUUCAUGUAAUUUUGGUAGAGGCAGUUCUCUUACUUGGAAGAAACUAGAUAAAAUAAUUUGACUGUGGUUAACAAAUCCAUACCCCCACUUACCAGAACUAUAAGCCAGCCAUAGCAUGAACUGUUAAUACAUAUUUUUGCACUAUGAAAAUUUCAGAUAGGCAGUAAUAACUAUCACAAAUAAAUACCUCAUUCUUUGAUUUUCCAAGAUUAUUUGGUAGGAGAGGGAGACUAAGAAAUUAAGUCCAAUUAAUACACAUUGAGGGGAAAGGGACAUACAGAGAUAAAUAAGACAGUCUAUAUGAUUUUUAUGGGAGAUUUGUAACUAUACUAAUAACUGUAAUUCAAAGCAUUAUUUGAUACAAAUUUUACCAACAUUAUAAGUAAUUAGGCACUGAAACAAUUAGAAGGAUAAGAAAGUAUUUAUUUUCUAAUGACAUGUUGUUUAAGAUGGGUUUUGGGGAAUAGGAGGAAAAGACAUGGUUGGAGUGUGUCCAUUUUGCCAGAAAUGUAAGAAUUUGAGGAUGAUGCUAUAGUUAAGAUGUUAGGGACAACUUUGUUGAGCAAUAAGUAUAUGGUUGAGAAAUUGGUAUUUGCCCUGGUAAGCAGUGUGGUGCCAUUGAAACUUUCUGAAGAUGGUAUGAUCUGAUCCAGUUCAGCCUUUAAGAAGACCUACGUAAAAGGUUCAUAAGCUUUUUGUAUGACCUAUUUCAGAAAACGGAAAAAAAAAAAAAACCAAACCUGAGGAAAUGCUAUAGUAAACUGAGGUUGCCACCUUGUCUUGGAAACAGUCUGUUCAGUCCAGAUAGAGAUUUUCAACCAUACAAAUUUGUUGUCAAAUUUAGAAUAGGAUUUUUAAACAAAAAUCCAUAGAAGAAUCCUAAAGCUCUGGCCUCUAUAUUGGCAUGGCAACAAUUGUCUAGAGGUGAGUCGUAGUUUGCUUCUUUUCUGUGGUACCUGUGUGCUGGUUCACAUCAGUCGUCAUAAGGUCUGGAUGUUUCCUGCUUGGUUCUUGAAGCAUUUAUUAUAACCUAAUGAACAAAAAAAGAAGCGAGAUAUUGAUCUGGUAAAAUGGUACCAUAUUGGAGCUGUCUGUUGUGGUAUUCAUCAUGCUGUCACAUCCCGAGUGCCUUGGAGUUAUUGGAAAGUGGAAUUGAGAGAGUUCUGUCAUUUGGUGUGGCAAUCCAUUCACAGGACAGUCACUACAAUAUUUGCAAUGGUUUGCUUAUUUUUCUAGCCAGGCUACCUUCAUCUUGAGUAACAAGAAGGCCUUCCUAUUAUCCCAUGCAUAGUAGUAUUAAUAGGUCACAUGUAACUGUUCUCUAGCUUGUCUUACUGGGAUAACAUGACUCUUUUUCUAAGUCAGUGCUCACACUUGCUGCCUGUCCCUGCACUCAUGAUGCGCUGGGUUCAUUCCUAUGGGACCAGUAUAUCUGAGUGUGGCUUCAAGCCCCUUAUGCUUUUAUCUGAUGGUGGUGAGGAGGUAAAAGAUGAACUUUUAUAUGUAGAAAGCUUUUAGUUUCUUCCCACACUAAAAUAUCAGUUAAUGUUAAAAGAGCUUUCAAAAGUAUAAAAAGAUACUGUCAAUCUUCAAUGACUAGAUUAAAGAGUUUGAAUGAA